GCUGCGAUAGCUCAGAUGGUAGAGCGUCACUUUGGUAUAGUGAAGGUCGCGGGUUCGAUCCCCGCUCGUAGCUC
rnacentral:tRNA from 2 species